AAGUUUUCAGAAACCGCGAGGAGCUUACACCGAACAUUUUGCAAGACGUGAAGAUAUUAGUGGUACCAGGGCCGCAGAAUGUGUUCAAUGACGAAGAACUGGCCAGCAUGAAAGGUAUGGUGGAGAGAGGGACUCUGUGCUGGUGGCGAUGGUCGACGGUGGCGAGGAACGCAUGAACACCAACAUCAACUUCUUCCUCGAAGAGUAUGGCAUCGUCGUUAACAAUGAUUGCGUGGUUCGCGCUAAGUACCACAAGUUUUACCAUCCCAAGGAGUGUCACAUAUCAAACGGUAUACUGAACCGAGCAGUCACGAAAUACCUCAUGAAAAUGGUCAAUUAUUCCAGUGAAUCCGAUGA